UUUCCGUAGGUGAACCUGCGGAAGGAUCAUUACUGAAUAACCAAGGUCCCAAACCUAUCGCUGACCCUUAAGGUCGUGCACGCCCGAGUGCCCCCCCACUCAUCCAUCCCCCCCCUAUGUGCACCACCGCGCAGGUCCCCCUCUGGCUCGUUCGGAGUGGGGCUUACGCUUUUGCACACUCUUUGUAUGCUGUGUAGAAUGUAUUUUUAGUCUUUGACAUCCCGCAAUCAUGACAACUUUCAACAACGGAUCCCUUGGCUCUCGCAACGAUGAAGAACG
rnacentral:misc_RNA from 1 species